GCCCCUUGCUCAUUGGAUGAAUGGAUGGGGGGCCGGCGGACGGAAAUCGCGAGAGGAUGCGAAGGUACGGAGAAGUUUCUAGACGCCACUAGUUUCUUCUAUUGCCUGUGACUGAGAUCUGUUAGAAGGAUUUCGAUGUCAUUUUUUUUUUCUGUUCAGACGUCGUGUGUGAUGUUAUGUUGAGCGGUGAGCGCGGCGGGGGUGCACCGGUGGUAGAUCCGCCGUUUGGCUCUGCUGUUGUGGUUAUUGCUGGAUUUCACAUAUAGGUUCGGGAGAAGGAUGUUAGUGUUAACUGUGUCUUUGUUUGAACGUGUCGUUUGGCUGAUUAGUCAUGGCUAAAAGUAUUGUUCGUUGAUUUAUUUUGAGAAAAAACACUAUUAAAUAACUGACAGAUUCGAUAGAUAAGCUCAAGCAAACGAGAAAUUUUGGCCGUCCCACAAGAUAUCUAGCUGUACUUAAAUGCCAUUGUGCUUGUUUAGUUCUGAUACUGUUUGAACCUGUUAAACCAACAACCACGAUGUCGAGCAUUUCCACCAGAUCUCUUAUAUUACAUCUCCAAUAACUUGUCCCCUAAAAUGCCUUCAAACUUAUCUCCUAUAAAAUUAGUAAAUCUAGGAUAUAAGAGAGCACUACUAUAGCAGAUUAUCUGAAACUCCUAUAUUUGUUUAGGAUAUGUGAGAGGGGUUGUCUCCUUUGGGAGAAAUGAUCAGGAGAUCUCUUAAAAAUUAUAGGUAUAGGAGAUGAGAUAGAAGAUCUGUUGUAGCAUCUCCAUCUGCUACUUCCUACAUUCCAAAUGAUAAGUUAUUUUGACCUUUUUAGAUAUAUAUUUUUUAUUAUGUAUAUCUAGACAUAACCUAUGUCUAGGACUCUUGAUGUAUAUCAAAAACUAUGUAUUUAGCAAAAGCCAAAACGACUUACAAUUUGGAACAGAGGGAAUACUUUUUAGGUAUAUGAGAUUGGAUAGGAUUUCUGAUGGAGAUGCUCUUUGUUGAUUAUGGCAUUUUUGUAUUAUUGCAGCUAUUUACCUUUUGUUUGUUACAAGUAGCACUGAUUUACCUCACCGUUUCAUUGUCAGCAUUCGUUUCCCAAGCAGUUCAACAUUUUGUUACUGGCUGGUCUGACGUUUGUUUACUUGUUCUUGAUUGACUAGACAUUGGCGUAUUGCAUAUGGUGGCACCAAGCAUGAGGCAGGAACUGCAUUACUUGCAAGAAAGUCACAAGUAAGAUACCAAAGCUUGUGGUUCAUUAUAAGGUGUUUUAGUGCUGCCUCUUUGUUUUUUCCAACCUCUUGUUCCACAAACAGCCCUCUAGCUUGUAUGUAGUCCUGUGAUUCACCUUUAUGGCCUUUAAGUUGACCAUUAUGGGCCUUCUUCCUCCUGUGUACCCUUCUGUACAGCUCAGAAUUUGUAAUUUUUCUGCUCAUAAAUCAGAGUUGUUUUAUGAGGAAUGAAAGCAAAACAUGAUUCCUGUGUCCACUUGAAGUAAGCUUCAACUAGAACACACGUUUUUUUAUACCAAAAAUUUAAAGUACAAAUUUGAGGGAAUCCACAUGCGGAUAUGCCCAUUAACUAUUACUAGUUCGUACCAAGAACUAGUCCCUAAAUGAUUAUUGCGUAUUACUCCCUUCCUUCUUAUUGGAUGCUACAAAACUGGUGGCCAGGAGCAUUGAUAUUCCAGGACCUGCGCACUCAAACAUCUUUUCGUGUAGAGCAAAUUUCUAAAAUUUAAUGGCUAUGUUUAGAAGUAUCUAGACCGUGAUAUGAAAGUUCUAUCACUAUCUUCGUUUGGUUAAUGUACAUCCAAAGUACAAAAAGGUUCAAAUUUCUUCCUCCCAAGUAAGGCAUGUGUUUGAAUAAUGAAUAAACAAAAUUUUGUUCCAUAUACUCUCCCCUAAGUAUUUCAAAUAGAUUUGUCUUUUUCGUUUUCCAUGUACAACAAUACAAGUUGAGUUUGAAGUUCAAAUGAUGUGGGUUCAUAGAAGACACCAUAUGUUAAGAAAAUAUAUCAUGAAUUUUUCUAUCAUUGUUCUGAUAGCUUAGGAUGUCUAAUAAUAAUUUAUGGUGUCUGCUAUCAUAACCCCACAUCAUUUGAACUUCAAACUUAAUUUGUACAUGGGAAAUAAAAAAUACAAGUAGUAUUAAGGAGUAAGGACAUUGGACCAGCAAAAGUAGUUGGAGGGAGUAAAUCAAACCAAAGCUUUGCUUAGGUGGUUCUUCAUACUUGAGGGAAGUAAUUCAAAAAAAUUUUCCUAUAAAAGUAAGUUGUUCAUGAAAAGUCAAUAGCAUCAAAUAAAGAAUGGAGAGAAUAUUAUAGUGGGCACAUUCACUUUAAUGUCAUAUUGGUGUAACCAUCGGUUCCUAUUGGGGAACCACAACUUUCCUUUCGGCAAGCAAACACUCUUGUACUUCGUUUUCAUGGUUCAGUCACCCAACACUGUUGAUAAUCAUCAUAGAAUUACAUAUUCAAAUCUUGAUUGAUUCAGAAUGAUUGCUUGCCCAUACUGGCCAGAAGCCCCAAAGAUUAUAACAUGUGAACCAAUAUGCUGGGCACCAAGUACCUAUUAGCAGCCCCCAACAUGCAUGUGAACCAAUGAUCCACGGAGUACCACACUGAAGCUGUGCCCCUGUAAAUCCUUUCAAACAGGAAGAAGAAUUAUCUUCCUUAAAUCUCUAGUCGUCAAAACAUGGUUACUGGAAAUUGGGAAUGACCAACCAUAUUAUUACCAUGUUUGAUUGUUGAUUACAAAUCUUGAGAACCAAGUAAAGUUCUUGGGGCAGUGGAGAAAAAUAGGUAGUAAUAGCCAGCAGUGAUGCCACGUUGCUGUAGGGUUUACUGUUACCAGGCAAGAAAGAAAAGAGUGCUAAAUACUCAUUUUGGAAAUUUUAAGCUGUUACAAUUUAGCAAUCUGCUUCAAAUUUAUCCAAGCUUCUAUACUCUAUAGUUGUGCAGCGCCAUCUGAUCGUUCUAGAUUCAACCCUGGUACUAGCAUCAUUUCUUUGUUUUCAAUGGAUAUAGGGAAAUCGUGCAGUUGACUGUUGUAUAGUUGACCUUGUAGAUAAUUCUGCACUGGAAGGUAUAUUAUUGACUUACGAAUAUGAAAGAGCAGCUAAGGACCAACUAAUACAAUUUAUUAAAGAAAUAAUGAGCCCACUUUAGUGCUGGGCUGCUGGCUGCUGGCUGCUGGGAUGGUGUCUAGCCCACAGUCUGCCCACAUACCUUACCCACUGGAGUUUGACUAGCAUUAGGGAUAAAUGUGCAUCCAGUUUCAGUUCCAAACCAUGAAACUUAUAUUAUUCCUUAUUGCAAAGUUCAGUCAUUAGUGAAACCAAGUACAUAUACAUGAUGCAAAUGCCAAAGUGAAACCCAGUGUAUCUUCAAUAUGGAGGAGCCUCAUGUGACAUUAUUUACACAAGCCAUUUUGCUCACUCAGCUAGUAUAUUUCACAAAUACUCAUUGCAACCAGAGUGCUCUGCACUGUAUGAAAUUGUUGAAACACACCAUGGUAUUUUCGAACUUGUACUGCAUCUUCUUAGUGCAGUUGAAGUCUGUAACAUAUCAAAGCAUAGAUUCUUUUUAUUAUGCUUUCUUCAUACUUGUAGUAACUCAAUUUGUUUGGAUACUAGAAAGAAUGUUUACCCCAGUUCAGGAGCCAUCAGUUCCUUGCGUCGAUCCCCCUCUUUUUGUUGUGAUUGCCUCUGUUCAAGAUUAGCAGGGACAUCUGCAUAUUGUGUUGUAAUACUAAAGCUGUAGGGAGUGCUAGAGCUUGCAUCAGCAACACCUCUUGGUUCACUGGCCUGGAGCUAAAAUUAAUUCGAUUAACUUCCUGCUGACAGAGCAUAUUUACUUGAUUAAAAUUUCUGCAAAGAUCAUUCAUCAAACCUUCCUGUGUAGUUCAACUUUUUGCUGUGACAUGACAUCUACUGUUCUACCGAGUUCCAUGUUUUCCUGGUGAAUUAGGCUACCCUGUUUCAAUGUCAGUAUAAAUUAAGAUGUCACUAACUUCCAUUGAACCAAGAAAAAACGACAAUUGCUUUUAGGACUUAACCUUCCUGUGUAACUCUUCAAUUUCACUUUUCAAAAUAUGGUCCUGUUUGACAUUACUGCAUAUUAGAUUGAAGUGAAUAGAAAACCAAAACAUGGUAACGAAAUGGAUAAUGAGUAUGACCUUCCUCAUUCUGAUACUACGCAGGCUCAUUUCAAGAUGGCUCUCUAAACUUUGGAGGUCUCUUACACCUAGGCCUGAAAGCUCCUCUCCCAUUAGUUGCCUACAGCAAUGAAAAAGAGUUUCUCAUGUUCUCUUAAGUAGGAUACUAAAAUUACUCUCAACGUAAAAUUACAUGGUUACACAGGUUGAAGUGAAGCAACUUAUUAUGUUGUUAGGGGAGAUUAACUAUCAAUUUAAUUUCCUGAAAUAAUGAAUGUUGUUAAUGUCUUCAAUAACUAUAUAUUUACUUAAUCCUUGGUUGAAACGUUUCACUUUUUUAUGUUCUAUGAAGUUUUUCAUGUGUCAUUGAAACUUCCUAUUGAUGAGUGAUCCUUUUUUUUUCAGAAUCAAUUGCAGACCAUACUUGUGGCUUUCUUGCAAGUUGUGCAGUUGUUGCCUCAAGCUUGCUGCCUCCCUUUGCCAGAGCUAUUAGUAAAACAGGAAGUACCGUCAGUUUAUGAGCUACAAAAUAUAAGCAUAGAAAAAUAAUUUAGAAAUGUAAGCAUAAUAUACUAGUACAUUGCUAAAGAUAAAUCAAUACUCAAUAACUUCCACAUGCUUUGGAUUUAAAUACAAGUACAUUGCUAAAGAUAAAUCAAUAACUCAAUAACUUCCACAUGCUUUGAAUUUUGGGUAACAUACUAGCACAUUGCUAAAGAAGUAAAGAUAAAUCAAUACUCAUUCCACAUGCUUUGGAUUCUGGUUAACAUACUAGUACAUUGCUAAAAGAUAAAUCAAUACUCAAUAACUUCCACAUGUCAAUGAUAUCUUUUGCAGAUUAACAAGAUUCAAUCAUUUGCUGGGGUAGUCUACAGCAAAUGCAUUGGUUCUCUUUAUUGAUAGCUAACACGUCUUUGCUUUCGUGCACUUCCUUUUGAGAAGCAAUGAAGUGGACCGUAGAAUGGAGAUGUGAUAGAAGAUGGCCUUUGAAUCUCUCUCCCAAACUUCCAGGUCCAGUGGCGUCAGAGCAUGCUCCCCUGCCAACUGAUCACCUCUGACCGUCUCUGGUGGUGUAUCCACUGUCGGGUUUGUGCCCCGCUGCCACAAUUAUGAUUGUCCCAAAUAAGCUACUCUGCGUGAACAGUCCCACAGGCUGUCUCCUGCAUCCGGCAGCAACGCUGCGGCACUUCGCCUGACGGCCCUACCUCCACUGGACCGAUUCCUAAGCCAGGAGCACACCAAAACCUCGGCAUUUCUGAAACUACAGGUGCUUGUAGUUUAGGAGGGUUUUUUUUUUUUCCCACCUUUGCUUCGUAUAAUAUUGCCUAACAGGCUUUGGAUGGCUUGUUUUGUAGCGACAAUGAUGGUGGCUGCCGAAUGCUGGCUUGAAGACGUUGCCUCCGGUAUCCGUAGCUGACUUAGUGCCUCCCUUAGUCCCUUUUACAUAGCACAUGGCCAACAAGAACCACAACGUAACUAUAAAGCCUUGUAUAUUCAGAAGUUCUCUUGAGUUAUUGUAAACUCUUUGCAUUGCCUGUAUAUAUGUGUUUGGCACGACAUGCCAGCAACCACCUUGUUUAUUGAGGUGAAACCCCUCUUCUGUAGUGUUUGGCUUGUUUUAAGGACAAUAUCCUUGUAUUAAACUAAUGUGGUAAAAUUGUUCCAUCAAUUCAUCAUGUUUUUUUUUGUGACUUGUAUAUAUGUUUGAAAUAAAUAUCUUCAGACACUGCUUAUGAAAGACAACUGAAGGUGCAGCAUGGCCCUCCAUUUUCAUCAUCCCAAAAUAGGUGUACAUUUCGCAGUAUGAAAAGCCAACUAAUUUUAAAUUUGACUAAAUUUGUAGGCAAUAAUAUUAACAUUCCAAUGAUGUACAUUUUGUAUCAUAAAACCUAAUAAUUUUUACUAUAUAUUUGGUUAAACUUAAUAUUAUUUGACUUCUCAGAGUGUGAGAUGUGCACUUAUUUUGGGACGGUUUAGGUAUGUACGAAGUUUGGUUUGAUAUAUUAUUUUUGCUUAUGUAUUUUUGUCUCAUAAGUAUCCAAAAUUAUUCCAAAAGGUUGCCCAAGCGGUGGCCGUUUAGUGUGACUAUGGCCUGAGCGGUGAGUGAGGAUAUCUAUUUGGCCAUCUAGGCGGGGUCAAAUAAUCGGUUUCAGCAUGAAACAAAUGCUGUGCCUUAGGCUGUCUCUAACAGGAGACUUAUUUGGAAACCCAAAACUAAAAUGGAUCUCCAACAUAAUAACUAUAGCCUCCAACAGAGUAUCCAUAUAGAAAACCCAUUUUGGGUAUCAGGAGAGGCAUAACCCAAAUUUGGGUAUCCUCUCUCCUCGAGACACAUUUGCAGAGAGUGUUGUCUUUUAGAUCUUGUUGUUGGAGAAGACUAAAAAUAGGUAU
rnacentral:lncRNA from 1 species